AACGAACGCUGGCGGCAGGCUUAACACAUGCAAGUCGAGCGCCCCGCAAGGGGAGCGGCAGACGGGUGAGUAACGCGUGGGAAUCUACCCAUCUCUACGGAAUAACGCAUGGAAACGUGUGCUAAUACCGUAUACGUCCUUCGGGAGAAAGAUUUAUCGGAGAUGGAUGAGCCCGCGUUGCAUUAGCUAGUUGGUGGGGUAAAGGCCUACCAAGGCGACGAUCCAUAGCUGGUCUGAGAGGCUGAUCAGCCACACUGGGACUGGGACACGGCCCGGAAUCCUGCGGGAGGCAGGAGUGGGGAAUACGGGACGAUGGGCGCAAGCCAGAUCCAGCCAUGCCGCUAGAGUGAUGAAGGCGCUAGGGUUGUAAAGCUCUUUCACCGGUGAAGAUAAUGACGGUAACCGGAGAAGAAGCCCCGGCUAACUUCGUGCCAGCCGCCGCCGAAAUAC
rnacentral:rRNA from 1 species